UGGCCAGUGAGUGCUGCAGGAUACUGGAGGGAGGGCAACAGAGAGGAAGGUGGUACCAUAAAAAAGUAUAUCAUAGACAUGUUUGAUCCGAGACGGAAGGUUCCAGAGUAAGUGACAACUAAGCAGAGAUCUUAAAGAUGUGGGAAGACCUACAUGUCUAUGUUCAGAAGCUGCCUUGAUGCCACAUGCGGGAGGCUGGAAACGCUGAAGGAUGACCACUGCUCAGCAGCAGUCUACCAGUGAUGGAUGAGAGUUGGUGCACAAAUACCCCAGCUCCCUUGCCUCUCAGUUUGGAUAAUCCUGAAAAGGCCCAGCAAGAAAUGAUUCCAAGAUCACCUAGCUGAUCUCAUGCUCUAUCUGGAUUUGAGUGAAGAUAUACAUAUUCACCAAGUCUUGACUCAGUCACCUUUUGUGCAGGCCCAAUAGAAGCAAAUGCAGGUAUGAUCUGGAGAAGCAUAUCUUGAAUCUCAAAAAGUCAGGACAGACAACACCAUAAGAAACAGCAGGGGGAAAAGAAAAAAGCAGAAUCAGGCUCAGAACUACAGGCACCUUCAGAGGGCAGUGUUCCAUUUUAUUGAGGGAGAUCUGAAGAGAUGAAGUGACUUGCCAGAGCACAGGUCCAGUAAGUGUCAGGUUUCAAGUUCUUUGAGUUGAGAUUCAGUCAUUUGAAAGCCAUUUAUCUAGUGGAAUAACACCC
rnacentral:lncRNA from 1 species